GACGAACGCUGGCGGCGUGCUUAACACAUGCAAGUCGAACGAUGAAGAAGAGCUUGCUCUUCGGAUUAGUGGCGAACGGGUGAGUAACACGUGACUAACCUGCCCCUUUCUCUGGGAUAACGCUCCGAAUGGAGUGCUAAUACCGGAUACUCACAUCGAGGCACAUGCCUUGAUGUGGAAAGUUUUUCGGAAAGGGAUGGAGUCGCGGCCUAUCAGCUUGUUGGUGAGGUAACGGCUCACCAAGGCGACGACGGGUAGCCGGCCGGAGAGGGCGACCGGCCACACUGGGACUGAGAAACGGCCGAGACUACUACGGGAGGCAGCACUGGGGAAUAUUGCACAAUGGGCGAAAGCCUGAUGCAGCGACGCCGCGUGAGGGAUGAAGGUCUUCGGAUUGUAAACCUCUUUCAGUAGGGACGAAGCGAAAGUGACGGUACCUAAAGAAGAAGCACCGGCUAACUACGUGCCAGCCGCCGCCGUAA
rnacentral:rRNA from 1 species